rnacentral:rRNA from 1 species
ACCUAGGCGGGAGAUGCUCCAGACAUCUCCUUAAUCGGAGAGUUCCCUGCGGGGACAUUGGUGACAGGUGGGGCAUGGUUGUCGUCAGCUCGUGUCGUGGGAUGUUGGGUUAAGUCCCGCAACGAGCGCAACCCUUGUCUUUAGUUGCCAUCAUUAAGUUGGGCACUCUAG